GCUCCCGUAGCUUAAAGGUAGAGCUGAGUUUUCGUAAAGCUUAUGGUACAGGUUCAAAUCCUGUUGGGAGCU
rnacentral:tRNA from 1 species